UUAAUGAGAGUUUGAUCCUGGCUCAGGACGAACGCUGGCGGCGUGCCUAAUACAUGCAAGUAGAACGCUGAGGUUUGGUGUUUACACUAGACUGAUGAGUUGCGAACGGGUGAGUAACGCGUAGGUAACCUGCCUCAUAGCGGGGGAUAACUAUUGGAAACGAUAGCUAAUACCGCAUAAGAGUAAUUAACACAUGUUAGUUAUUUAAAAGGAGCAAUUGCUUCACUGUGAGAUGGACCUGCGUUGUAUUAGCUAGUUGGUGAGGUAAAGGCUCACCAAGGCGACGAUACAUAGCCGACCUGAGAGGGUGAUCGGCCACACUGGGACUGAGACACGGCCCAGACUCCUACGGGAGGCAGCAGUAGGGAAUCUUCGGCAAUGGACGGAAGUCUGACCGAGCAACGCCGCGUGAGUGAAGAAGGUUUUCGGAUCGUAAAGCUCUGUUGUUAGAGAAGAACGUUGGUAGGAGUGGAAAAUCUACCAAGUGACGGUAACUAACCAGAAAGGGACGGCUAACUACGUGCCAGCAGCCGCGGUAAUACGUAGGUCCCGAGCGUUGUCCGGAUUUAUUGGGCGUAAAGCGAGCGCAGGCGGUUCUUUAAGUCUGAAGUUAAAGGCAGUGGCUUAACCAUUGUACGCUUUGGAAACUGGAGGACUUGAGUGCAGAAGGGGAGAGUGGAAUUCCAUGUGUAGCGGUGAAAUG
rnacentral:rRNA from 1 species